CUUCCUGAACUUCACAUAAAGAGGAAAUAAUAAAACAGGUUUCAUGAGUUGGUUGGAUAUGAGGUAGUAUAUGUAGCAGUAAUGAUUAAUUCCUCCCCUCGCCUUGGCACACUGAAGUUGAAUGCCUUGAAAAAGAUAGUUUAUUUGGAGAGAUGUUUGGUGAAAUAAGAAAGUAGGGUUAAUUAAAUUAUCUCAGGAUACUGAGAGUGGCUAAUAUUAGGCACCUUUUUUUUGUUGUUGUUCCUGGCACUGUUCUGAAUGCUUUCUUUACAUUUCCUCACAGGAAUUCGGGGUUAGGUGCUAUUAUUUCACCCCCACAUUAACAGUGAGGAAAUUGAGGCUAGAGUAGAUAAAUAACUUGUAUUAACCCUGCUUGUCUGGUUCCAGGGCUCAUAACUAUCAGAAUGGAAUUUUUGAAGAGGAUCAUGAGGAUGGCAUUGAUAAUAAUGCCUAGGUUUUUACGCUUCAUCCUCUGAGGAACACUUCUUGUUUACCUUGUUACAUUAGUUCCUCAUAAAAAACAGGAGAUGGCUAGAAAAUGGGAUUAAAAAAACAAAACAAAACGGAGGUUUCCUAGAGGGGAGGUGACUUGCCCAGGGUUACUGAAUCAAUAUGUGACCAAACUGGUGCAAGAACUUUUCCCACCUGACUUGUGUGUUAACAGAAUGAAAGAAUAGUAUAGGAAUCCUCUUAACAAGUGGAUGCUAUGAAGUUUUUAAAAUUUCCAACAGACACAAGGAGAUUAAUUAUGUUCCUCAAGACCACACGUCAUGCCAGUGGCCAACUAAAGGAAGAGCAACCCCAGCCCCAGAGCCACACAGCUUCAGAGCACCCCAACUGCAGGAGUUGGAGAAGUCCUAAUGCAUCUACGUUGGAGCCAGUGUGCAUCCUCAGGCCUUGUCCUGGGAGUGUGAAACCACCAGGGAGGAACAUAAGUGGCACAGGGACUCUCCCCGUUGGCUCACACUGCCUCCUACCACAGUCACCGGGGCUCUUUGUAAAGGUGCCUGAGCAACCAAAGGGGAGACGUUGAGGAUGUGCCCACGUCUGGGGGGACCUGGGCCGCCUCCUUCCAGUGCUAAUCAGCUCUCUCUGCAAAUUGAAGGCUCAGCACAAUUUUAAAGAAAGCAAGAGAGACAAGAAACCAAAUAAGGUUGGACCAAAAGCCUGUUGGAAUUAUGUGGUGUUUUGCCUUGUAGCUGGGGAUCCAGUUACAGAUGCCUGUGAUUAUGGCCUUUGCAAACAGUUGUCAGAGAAAUUUACAAGAUUUCUAAAGGCUGCAGAAGAGCAGAUGUGGAAUUAAAUUGCAAGAACAGCUACUCAUAAUGGCUUACAUGUGGGUAUAAGAUAUUUAGGAUUCAGACCCAAGUCCCUGUGUCCAAGAGGUGUGGGAUGCAGAGACAAAAGCAGAGAUUGGAGGUGUCAGCAUUUUCUGGUGGUCUUUUCCUAUUGUAUCAUUUAUUGUUGACCCGCAGGCCCUUAAAGCAGUUAGCUUGUAGUGUCAAACGUAGUCUUCGUUUGUCCCAUUUAGUAAGAUGGCUCUGAUUGGCUUCAUUGCCAACAAGCAUCAGCCAUGCCGGCAGAUAGAUUGUGGAAAAUGUGAGUCUCUAUGACCAACUUUAACUGGCCGUGCAAUAGAUAAUUUAACAUUAGCAAAGUUCAGAGUAUUUAGGUUUGCCUUGUUUCAUUAUCUUUUUCACAGUUCAUAUGGCAAAAGCUUUAAUGACUGUAAGAAAUGCUUUUAUUAUUGGUGAUGAAGGACAAGAUUGGAAUGAUUAGGAGGAGUGAUAGUAAUCUAACAGUUUUUCCUUUUGAAACAAAAGCUACUAGAUUUCUCUCCACUUCCAAUAAAGAAAUAAGCUUACUGAGUUAAAAAAUCCACGAGACCUAUAUUAGGCAGUGAAAAUAAUGAAAAAGAAAAUUCCAAGUCUUGAUAUAUAUAAAAAUAACAUUCUAGUUCUUGUUAUAUUGAAAUGCCCUUUUCCAGAGCUUUUCACAUAAUUGCCAGAAAACAGUUUAUAUUGUAUUAAUAAAGAGAGGAGGGCACUUGGGUGGCUCAGUGGUUGAGCGUCUGCCUUUGGCUCAGGGUGUGAUCCCAGAGUCUUGGGAUCAAGUCCCACAUUGGGUUCCCAACGAGGAGCCUAUUUCUCCCUCUGCCAGUGUAUCUGCCUCUCUCUCUGAGUCUCUCAUGAAUAAAUAAAUAAUUUUUUUUAAAGAUUUUUAAAUUUAUUUUUGAGAGACCCAGAGAGAGAGGCAGAGACACUGCAGUCCCCACCACACUUCUGGGAAACCAAGCGGUAGAGUGCCGUGUGCCAGGGAGACAGCUUGGAAAUCAAAUGGAGUAAGAAUGGUCAGUCUCUGUGUACUGCCUCCUCAUCGUCAAAUUGUCUCACAGCUGCCUGGAGAGGAAAGAAGAUGAUGACCUCAUGGUAGACAGGAGGACAGAAGCUCCAAGAGGGCUCAGUAACUUGCCCCAGGAAAAGGAGAAUAAAGUGAGCAGGCAUUGGCUCCCAUGGGAUCAUUACAUCCCCCAACCACAAAAUGGUGAAGCUGGUACGUAAACCCAACUAGAUUUGAACUCCAGAGUUGGUCUCCAGUCCUUCAGAGAGGGACAAGCAUUGGCCUGAUUUUUGUCCCCCUUUAGCUCUGGUGUUGCACGGCCUUUUAGACCACUGGCAGGUCAUGUGAGAGGGGUCUGUGUUACUUGUUGGCCAUAGGACCUGGAGCAAGGUACCCCAACUCCCACUGUCCCCAUCUGUCUCAUAUACUUGUGGUGAGUGUUCCAUGGACAUAAAUGCUAUCAAGUGCUUAUUAGCACUGUGGCACCUAGCAAGGCCUCGGGCAAUGCACAGUAAUGAAGAGGAGGAAGACCAGUUUUGUUGCUAAGGUUCGUAGUGCUCCUGAGGUUUUGAUUGCAGAAGGUUCUCUUUGCCUGGACCCACGUGUGGCUGAGCUGUUUCCAGGCUGAACAUCCACUCUGACCCUCCCGUGUUCCACACCCAUAAUAGCUUCCUGGGGGCUGGUUUCCAUGGAGAACAGCUAGUGAACUUUUGUCGUCAUGUGUUUCCUAUUAUUCCACAUACCCCAGCUUGAACUUCCCAGAUUCUUCCGCCACAUCAAGCAGCAGAGACAGCCUGGUCUGUGGUACAUGCUGACACCUGUGCCUUCCUAAGGCCAAUGGCACUCAUAGCCUCUGUCCAGAGCUAAUCUUUUUUUUUUUUUUAAUUUAUUUGAGAGACAGUAAGUGAGAGAGAGAGAGAGCGCGCGCACGAGUGGGGUAAGGGGCAGAGGGAGAAGCAGACUGCCCGCUGAGUGGGGAGCCCGAUGCAGCCCUCAAUACUGGGACUCUGGGAUCAUGACCUCAGCUGAAGGCAGACGCCCAACUCACUGAGCCACUGAGGAGCCCUUGGAGCUAAUCUUUUAAUUCAUCCUUUAAAGACAUAUGGAGUAUUUAUAUACCAGGCAGAGCCAAAGAGGGACUUCAUGUACCUGUAUGUCACUUAACUGGGAGUUGGCAAGUAUCAUCUCCUCUCAUUUCCUAGAGAUAGGUAGAAACAGGCCCACACAAGGACCCAAAAGCUGGGAUCACACCGCAUCCCUCAUUUUCACUGUUAAUGAAAAGUACUUUCCAGCAGAUGUUCUUGUUCUUCUCCUGAUGUUUCUUGGUAAGUUUUUCAUCCUGUUGUCUUGUCUUACUCAUGUACUUAGGGGAACCUCAAAGAUUAUAGGAUGCUUCUGUUCUGACUUUAUCAAUUUUAAUCUAAAUUUUAUAAGAAUCCUAGACCAUUUAGCUCCUUCCCUCCAAGAUGGCUUAGAAUACCAUGUCCAUGUACAAGAUCUUUAUAAUCAGCUGUUUGCCAAGAGGUUUGAAUCAUCAUUUAGGCCAGAUGGUUUCCACAUGAACUAAGACUAAAGAUCUUUCAUUUGGCAUCCAGAAGAAAAACCAUUUUUAGAACUAUCAGUCCUUUAAAAAAACAAAACAAGCCAUUGAUAUUAAACUUAGUCAAUGAAACUUUGAAUGGAAUGGGAACAAAAUAAAUUCCCUUGUUUCUAAUUCUAGGGCUCCUGUUUAUGCAAAGUGGCCUGGGGAGAAAGCAGUAGCCAGGCUGAGUUGAGCUGGAUGAAAUAAACAAAAAGGUUGAAAUCUUUAUUUGCCUACUUACUUGUUCCCUGUUACUGCUAAUCAUAUUCCUCAGCCAUCACCAUCUUCAAACAUCUUGUUUCUGACUCUCAUAGAUGAGGAAACUCAGUGAUUUGCAUGUUUUUUUCCUUCACCUAGAGAUCCCCGUUAAAGUCCUUGAGUAGAUAUACCAAGGUGGACUGUAAAUGAAAUAUAGAUGAAUUUUUAAUUAAAUGAGAUACCAAAGAGCAGUUUUUCAAGACUUCUACAAAUCAGUCCAGAUAGUCAAGUGUGAACUACUUACUUACAGUGGGCAUUUGUGUAGAUUCAUCUUUAUAUUUGCUUGGUCCUGAAAUCUGAGAAGAUUCCGACCAUGGCUCCAGUUGAUUUCACUGGUUUGACUCUCUGUGCAGGGGAAACGGCCA
rnacentral:lncRNA from 1 species